UUGGUCAGUGCCUGGGCUAGAGGAUUAGGACUCGGGAGUCACUGGCCAUAUGCUGGAGGCUGGAGCCACAGGAGCACAGCUCGCCUCGCUGUGGUUGGCAGCGACUGAGAUAGCAACGUGCCUGAAGUGAUCUAUUUGAAGAAUUCAAAGAAUCUACGGAAGAUGGCUCAGCUUGCUGUGAAGCAAAGAAACCAGGGACCUUCUCCAGAACCUCUGAAGUUGAUGUUAGGUCCAGCUAAUGUUUCUCCUCUAAAAAGAAAGUGGAAUUCUCUCUCAGUUAUACUAGUGCUCGAUUCCAGUAGCUACACUAAAGGAUGUGGAAAAAAAAGAGAUGAGUCUUUCUGAUUGAAUAGAAGUGUAUCAUUUCCACUAGAACAGCUUCAAAGCUUUCCCCAACUUUUACAGAACAUCCAUUGCUUAGAGCUGCCUUCUCACAUGGGCUCAGUGCUAAACAACUCUCUGCUGCUUCACUACAUUAACUGUGUAACAGAUGAGCCAGUCUUGCUGAGGUCUUAUUAGUGGUUGAGUCAAACAUUAUAAGAAGGUUAAGAGUUGCGUGAGGAUGGAACAAGAUAGUUUAUAAAUGGGUUUCUUUUGCAAGGGUGCCAAAUUCUAGACAAGAAGAGCCUUCCUAUGCUGUAAUUAUGUCUGUGGUAAUCAUAUAUUUAGAGCAUGAAUGUUUCUGUUGUAAUUUCAAGGCAGUAAGAAGGGAGAGGGAUUUUGUUAAGGAAACGCUGCUGGAUGCCACCAAGACUCACUGGGUGCCUCUACUUUGAUGACUGUCUGUAGUAAUCAUAUAUUUAGAGCAUGAAUGUUUCUGUUGUAAUUUCAAGGCAGUAGGAAGGGAGCUGGAUGGAUGGCCACCAAGACUCACUGGGUGCCGCUCAGGAAACACUGCUGGAUGGAUGCCACCAAGACUCACUGGGUGCCUCUACUUUGACUAUCGCAAUCCAAGGAUUCUUCAUCUUUGUAUGUCCAGAAACUUGCUGUGAGGCCCCCAGAGUCGUCCUGUUAAUGAUAAUGAAACUCAGAGGAGAC